rnacentral:rRNA from 1 species
CACUCCUGCGGGAGGCAGCAGUGAGGAAUAUUGGACAAUGGGUGGAAGCCUGAUCCAGCCAUCCCGCGUGCAGGAAGACGGCCCUAUGGGUUGUAAACUGCUUUUAUCUGGGGAUAAACCUACUUACGUGUAAGUAGCUGAAGGUACCAGAAGAAUAAGCACCGGCUAACUCCGUGCCAGCAGCCGCGGUAAUACGGAGGGUGCAAGCGUUAUCCGGAUUUAUUGGGUUUAAAGGGUCCGUAGGCGGACUGAUAAGUCAGUGGUGAAAUCCGACAGCUUAACUGUCGAACUGCCAUUGAUACUGUUAGUCUUGAGUAAGGUUGAAGUGGCUGGAAUAAGUAGUGUAGCGGUGAAAUGCAUAGAUAUUACUUAGAACACCAAUUGCGAAGGCAGGUCACUAAGUCUUAACUGACGCUGAUGGACGAAAGCGUGGGGGGCGAACAGGAUUAGAAACCCGGGUAGUCCC